rnacentral:lncRNA from 14 species
GGUGGGAGUGGAUCUCAGGCCGGUCCCGUAGAGUCACCGCGGAUGGGAGGGAAGGACGGGUCCGCCCCUGCGCAGCGCAGCUGAAGGUGGGAUUGCUGGUGAGCCGCGCUGCUCCGCGGCCUCUCCUUUUCCCGGGCUGGCCUGGAAGUGUAAGGGGCCAGCGGCUCUGAGCUACCUGCCUCGGUGCAGCAGGGCUCCAUGCCCGCGACUGGCCAGAGCACAAAACCUCCCUUGCUGCAAGCCGGGAUUCCAUCCCCAGAGAUCCACCCCCUCAGUUCUCAGAGCUCCGUCACCUUUUUACCCAGGCAUCUUCAUGAAGCUAGAAAACACACUGGCUGACUUCACAAGACCUGGUUACUGGAAGCGUUCCACAUGGUCAAGCAGUACUUUCAGACAAGCUUAAUUCCUAUUAAAUGAAGUUUAAUUUUGAGGUAAGGAUUUGUUUGAUUUUCUUUG